UGGGGACUGGAGUACCACAAUGAUAUAAACAACAUAGCAUCCUGUACAAAAACUCAAAGAAGGAAAAAAGGCAAUAUAUUUUGGAGAAGAAAGGAGAUGGGUGACUGAAAUGAUUAAGGAGACAAAUACAAGAUUCUUUUUGUAUUUCUAUUUAUCCUGAAAAUAUAGAGCUCACAGGGUUUCUAAAAGAUGGAAGAAAGGGAGAACUUGGAAAUUUUGUACUCAAUCAAGCUAUUUGAAGUCAUUGAACUAUUCAAUUAUUGUUUUUCCCUUUCCAGUUUUGGAAGAAAAUGUGGCUCUGGAUACCUUUAUGGGGUUGCACACAUGGAUAAUUAGGAAAAAUAUCUGGAUUUUCAUCUCCUGUUUUUACCACACUUUUGAAUACCAUGAGGAAAGAGAUAUUUAUUGGAAUAAGUAUUAGCAGUGUGAGGACAGAUAAGCUUACAUUUGGAAGUGGGACCACUCUCGCAGUUGAACCAAACAAUCAAAAAAGUUCUGUCCCAGAAGUCCUUGUGAUGUUAUCAGAGAAAGCAGAAAAAGAUAGCAGCAUUGGAAGAGCAGCUUGUUUGGCAAGGAAUGUCAGUACAAAAACCAUCAGCUUGGAGAUGUCCCCUGAUGACGUUGUGUAUGAACAGAGUACACCCGUUUUGACAUCAGAUGGGAUGUACAAUGCCAUUAAGGUGGUCAGUGUGACAGAAGGCACAGACGUGAUCUGCAAGGCCAAAUGCAACGAUGACGUUUAUACAGCCAAUGCAACAUCGACAGAAAAGAAGACUGAAGAACCAGUAACAGAAAAGGUUUGCAACACCACAGACACCUCUGCACAAGCAGAUACCCAAGUGGAGAAAGCAAACAUGCUGUCGAUGGCUGUGUUGGGUUUGAGAGUCCUGCUGGCAAAAAGUAUCGCCUUCAAUACACUCAUGAGUAUCAAGUUGUUUCUUUUCUGAGGCAGUGGGGAAGCAAGGCAACAGCAAUCUGAAGAACAGCAGGAGAGAGCAUGUCCCAGCAGCACAAUGGGUUGAACAGCCAAACAUGUCAAAUCUGCUGGCAAUAACCAUCCAGAACACAACACAGCACCUUCCUCUUAAGAUAUGUUAUACUGUUGAAUCCUGCCUAGCUAGUUUAUAUCAUUGUAAGAGUCGUAACUGCUUUUGCUAUUUCUUUUUCUCUGUGAACUGAGGAGAGUGUAUUUUUCCUCAUCCCCCUGAUAAGUAGAAAUUGAUCUCCCCACUCUAGCCUUUGCGUAGAAGCAUCCAACCUGCUUCAACAGUUUUGAAAAAUCCAAUCCUCACUAUUGAUAUAUGACCCUUUUAAAACACCUUUUACAGGCAUGUUGCAUUACUGUCUGUAGAACUGAUGUAUUACUGCUGAGAGAAUUCAGGCACGGUAGAUGCUAUUUACAGCUUUAAUGUUUAUUAGGUAGCUUUAAUAACAAUAAUUUUCUAAGGUAGAUGAGACAAUCUGUGUUGGAUCUGAAAUGAUUCAAUUCGACCAGAUAAUGUUCAACCAUAGAAGCAUUUCUUUAUUAAACCUGUAUUUCUUCUGCAAAGUGUAUGGCACAUGCAUUUUAGGUGUCUGUAGUAGUGACCAAAAUAAAGUUUUACUAAGCCAAAA